CAGCAGAACCUCUAGCCCACUUUCCCCCACUAAUCCUUUCUUAACCCUAAAACAAACCAUUUGCCACGCCUAGUAUAUGAGAUAGAAAAACACAACUGAAGCUAUAGAACAAUAGUACCGCAAGGGAACGAUGAAAGAAAAAUGAAACACCUAAAGCAAAAAAAAGCAAUGAUCACCCCAUGUACCUCUUGCAUCAUGGUUUAGCAAGAACCCCCGAGUAAAGAGAACUAAAAUCCGGCCUCCCGAACCCAGACGAGCUACUUUUAGGCAAUUUAACAGAAUCAACUCAUCUCUGUGGCAAAAGAGAGAGAAGACCAAAAAGUAGAGGUGAAAAGCCAAACGAGCCUGGUGAUAGCUGGUUGCUCUCUAAGCGAAUUUAAGUUCAACUCUAGGCAUAAACCACAACAAAAACAAGUAACACCACUUACCAAACCUAGAAGAUACUCAAUAAAGGAACAGCUUUAUUGAGACGGGAUACAGCCCGAAUCAGAGGAUAACCCCACCCCCUCCCUACCAGUAGGCCUUAAACCAGCCAUCCCCACCAACCGCGUCAAAGCGUAUUACCCCCAACAAUCCAAAACAUAGUCUCCACUCCCUGACCUCCCACCGAGCAACUCUAUUUAAUAAUAGAAGAACUAAUGCUAAAACUAGUAAUAAGAACCAAUUCUCCUUACACGCUCUUCAAUCAGAAAUAGAUAAACUACUGAAAAUUAACAAACUAUAUAAAGAACAAAACAAACCACCAAGCAAAAGUUCACACAACUUGUGACACCAACACAGGAGUGUUUUAAGGAAAGAUUAAAAGCCCAACAAGGAAUUCAGCUAAUAGACUCCAACUGUUUACCAAAAACAUAGCCUUUAGCAUAACAAGUAUUAAAGGUCUCGCCUGCCCAGUGAUUCUUUCAACGGCCGCGGUAUCCUAACCGUGCAAAGGUAGCGUAAUCAUUUGUCUCCUAAAUAGAGACUCGUAUGAACGGCUAACUGAGAGCCUAACUGUCUCCUAGGACCAAUCAAUGAAACUGAUCUUCCAGUACAAAAGCUGAAAUACACCCAUAAGACGAGAAGACCCUGUGGAGCUUAAAACACACACUAUUUUUUACCUUUUUCCCCACGGAAUCAACACCCAAAACAUAGUGAUAAGACUUUUUAGUUGGGGCGACUUUGGAAUAAAAGAAAACUUCCAUGAAAGGGCUCCCCCUACCAAGGCCCACUAGCCAAAAUAAUUCUUCUUGACCCAGACAUCUGAUCAACGAACCAAGUUACCCCAGGGAUAACAGCGCCAUCCUCUUCAAGAGUCCAUAUCGCCAAGAGGGUUUACGACCUCGAUGUUGGAUCAGGACAUCCUAGUGGUGCAGCCGCUACUAAGGGUUCGUUUGUUCAACGAUUAACAGUCCUACGUGAUCUGAGUUCAGACCGGAGCAAUCCAGGUCGGUUUCUAUCUAUGCCCUUCUUCUUUAGUACGAAAGGACCAAGAAGACAAUACCAAUGGCAAGCCCACGUAUUGAGAAAUAAAUUGACAACCACUAAAAUUCUAACCACCAAAAUAGCCCAAGAUUAGGGCAUU
rnacentral:rRNA from 1 species